rnacentral:rRNA from 1 species
GACGAACGCUGGCGGCGUGCUUAACACAUGCAAGUCGAGCGGUAAGGCCCUUCGGGGUCCACGAGCGGCGAACGGGUGAGUAACACGUGAGUAAUCUGCCCAUCACUUCGGGAUAACUCCGGGAAACCGGUGCUAAUACCGAAUAUGACCACUUCAGGCAUCUGAUGGCGGUGGAAAGUUCCGGCGGUGAUGGAUGAGCUCGCGGCCUAUCAGCUUGUUGGUGGGGUAGUGGCCUACCAAGGCUUCGACGGGUAGCCGGCCUGAGAGGGUGACCGGCCACACUGGGACUGAGACACGGCCCAGACUCCUACGGGAGGCAGCAGUGGGGAAUAUUGGACAAUGGGCGAAAGCCUGAUCCAGCAACGCCGCGUGAGGGAUGACGGCCUUCGGGUUGUAAACCUCUUUCAGCAGGGACGAAGCGCAAGUGACGGUACCUGCAGAAGAAGCACCGGCCAACUACGUG